UGUUUCUUUAAGGUGUAUAUCUACAGUCGCCUUAUUGUGUCCGUUUUUCAAUUAAUAAAAAAACAAAGCGCUAUCCACUAAAUGGCAUUUUUUCAUCGUUCAAUAAAUCUCUUGAAACACAAGAAGUUGAAAUUUAGACUGAACCGAAGCUUUACUGUAUAUCCUUGGAUCUAUGCAAUAAUGAGUUUAAUGAUAUGGUGGUUAUUGUGGCUGUUAUUUGGUCAAGGGUUCACAAUGAAAAUGGGUUGGAAUGAAGAACUUGAGUUUUGUGAGGAAGAAUGGAAGAAAUUUGUGGCGGACAAAAUUGAAAUCGAUUCGAAAUG